AAAGUAAGCUGGGCAAUUGCCGGUGCAGUGCCGAAAGGCCGCACGGGAGGAAAGUCCGAGCUCCAUAGGGCAGGGUGCCGGAUAACGUCCGGCGGGAGCAAUCCUAGGGAUAGUGCCACAGAAAUGUAGACCGCCGAUGGCGUGAGCUCGUCUCACGCACAGGCAAGGAUGCAACGGUGCGGUAAGAGCGCACCAGCAGUCUGGAGACAGGCUGGCUAGGUAAACCCCACCUGGAGCAAGACCGGAUAGGAGCGCGCAUGUGGCUGCCCGUCACGCGCUCGGGUAGGUCGCUUGAGCUGGCUGGCAACAGUCCGCCUAGAUAGAUAAUUGCCGCUCCAACGUGCGAGGCAUGGGGGUGCCGCGUGUGGUGAAUGCCACAUACGGGCGCGUAGAUGCCGAUUGCAGCACAGGAGAACAGAACUCGGCUUACAGGCUUGCUUUCCAA
rnacentral:RNase_P_RNA from 1 species